rnacentral:rRNA from 1 species
UACGGGGGGAGCAAGCGUUGUUCGGAUUUACUGGGCGUAAAGGGCGCGUAGGCGGUCGUGACAAGUCACUUGUGAAAUCUCCGGGCUUAACUCGGAACGGUCAAGUGAUACUGCAGUGCUAGAGUGCGGAAGGGGCAAUCGGAAUUCUUGGUGUAGCGGUGAAAUGCGUAGAUAUCUGGAGGAACACCGGUGGCGAAGGCGGCAUUCUGGACCGACAUUGACGCUGAGGCGCGAAAGCCAGGGGAGCAAACGGG